rnacentral:tRNA from 1 species
UGGUUUCCUUUAAAACGUUAGCGCAUUCGUGUGGCCGGUUAGCUCAGUUGGCUAGAGCGUGGUGCUAAUAACGCCAAGGUCGCGGGUUCGAUCCCCGUACGGGCCACUGGAUGUCAUGGUGGGGCCCUUCACUUACCUGAAGGGAGGCCUUUUAAUUUAAGCCCGUCGAAUCACAGGUGCUCCGAAUCGAAUCCCAGGUGCUCCGAAUCGAAUCACAGCUGCUGCUCUGAAUCGAAUCACAGCUGCUCUGAAUCCGAAAUUAAGACGCCCUCUUAUUCGUCAAGCGAGAAGGCUAUUUUACUCAGUUUCCAAGGCAAAUAAAUGCCCACACCACGUGAGGCUGCCACUGGCUUUCACGGAAAAUUUCUCCCCUUAAAGAGUAUGUAAGUGAAUGCGGUGUUUUAAGAAUCGCCAGUUCUCCGUUCAACUUGUCCACAGCCCAACACAUUUGGACUACCAGGUUUGUGGUUUCCUUCGUUUACCCGCAGUGCCCCUGACAG